rnacentral:rRNA from 1 species
GACGAACGCUGGCGGCGUGCUUAACACAUGCAAGUCGAACGGAAAGGCCCUGCUUUUGUGGGGUGCUCGAGUGGCGAACGGGUGAGUAACACGUGAGUAACCUGCCCUUGACUUUGGGAUAACUUCAGGAAACUGGGGCUAAUACCGGAUAGGAGCUCCUGCUGCAUGGUGGGGGUUGGAAAGUUUCGGCGGUUGGGGAUGGACUCGCGGCUUAUCAGCUUGUUGGUGGGGUAGUGGCUUACCAAGGCUUUGACGGGUAGCCGGCCUGAGAGGGUGACCGGCCACGAUAGGACUGGGAUACGGCCCAGACUCCUACGGGAGGCAGCAGUGGGGAAUAUUGCACAGUGGGCGGAAGCCUGAUGCAGCAACGCCGCGUGCGGGAUGACGGCCUUCGGGUUGUGAACCGCUUUCGCCUGUGACGAAGCGUGAGUGACGGUAAUGGGUAAAGAAGCACCGGCUAACUACGUG